rnacentral:rRNA from 1 species
GACGAACGCUGGCGGCGUGGAUUAGGCAUGCAAGUCGAACGGUAUCAUCCUUUCGGGGGUGAGAGAGUGGCGAACUGGUGAGUAACACGUAGGUUAUCUACCCUCAAGACGGGGACAACCCAGGGAAACUUGGGCUAAUACCGGAUGUGAGCAACUUUUAGUUGUUUGAAAGGUGGCGUAAGCUGUCGCUUGGGGAUGAGCCUGCGUCCUAUUAGUUAGUUGGUGAGGUAACGGCUCACCUAGGCAAUGAUAGGUAGGCGGCCUUAACGGGUGGUCGCCCACACUGGGAUUGAGAUACGGCCCAGACUCCUACGGGAGGCAGCAGUCGAGAAUAGUCUACAAUGGUCGGAAGACUGAUAGUGCGACGCCGCGUGAACGAUGAAUCCCUUCGGGGUGUAAAGUUCUUUUAUAUGUGAGCAGUGCUUCUUAUAUUAACAGUAUGGGGAGAGAGAUAUUAGCAUAUGAAUAAGCAACGGCUAACUCCGUGCCAGCAGCCGCGGUAA